UACGUAGGGUGCGAGCGUUAAUCGGAAUUACUGGGCGUAAAGCGUGCGCAGGCGGUUAUGUAAGACAGUUGUGAAAUCCCCGGGCUCAACCUGGGAAUUGCAUCUGUGACUGCAUAGCUAGAGUACGGUAGAGGGGGGAUGGAAUUCCGCGUGUAGCAGUGAAAUGCGUAGAUAUGCGGAGGAACACCGAUGGCGAAGGCAAUCCCCCUGGACCUGUACUGACGCUCAUGCACGAAAGCGUGGGGGAGCAAACAGG
rnacentral:rRNA from 1 species